GACGAACGCUGGCGGCGUGCUUAACACAUGCAAGUGGUGCGACGAACCAGGGCUUGCCCUGGGGCAGAGCCGCGAACGGGUGAGUAACACGUGGGCAACCUGCCCCGAUGACUGGGACAACCCGGGGAAACCCGGGCUAAUACCGGAUGUGCUCCCUCACAUCAGUGAGACGAGUAAAGGAAGCUUCGGCCUCCGCAUCGGGAUGGGCCCGCGGCCCAUUAGCUUGUUGGUGGGGUAAUGGCCUACCAAGGCAACGAUGGGUAGCUGGUCUGAGAGGACGAUCAGCCACACUGGGACUGAGACACGGCCCAGACUCCUACGGGAGGCAGCAGUGGGGAAUCUUGCGCAAUGCGCGAAAGCGUGACGCAGCAACGCCGCGUGGGGGAAGAAGGCCUUCGGGUUGUAAACCCCUUUCAGUUGGGACGAAGGUCGGGCCGUUAAUAGCGGUUCCGGCUGACGGUACCUUCACAAGAAGCUCCGGCUAACUACGUGCCAGCAGCCGCAGUAACAC
rnacentral:rRNA from 1 species